UCCUACGGGAGGCAGCAGUGAGGAAUAUUGGUCAAUGGACGAAAGUCUGAACCAGCCAUGCCGCGUGAAGGAAUAAGGCCCUAUGGGUCGUAAACUUCUUUUGUAUGUGAGCAAUAAGGUCCACGUGUGGACCGAUGAGAGUAGCAUACGAAUAAGCAUCGGCUAACUCCGUGCCAGCAGCCGCGGUAAUACGGAGGAUGCAAGC
rnacentral:rRNA from 1 species